GAUCAAUCUACAUUAAAUAAAAGUAAUGGUGGUUAUGGUGGAAAAGGUGGUGUUAUAUGCUCAAUAACUCAAGAUGAAAGACAUGAAGCACACUGUCUUGUAUUGCAAAACAUUGAUGAGAUUCAACCUUACAUCGAGAAUCAUUUUGUUUGGCUUCGGAAAAAAUAUCCAUCUAAGUCAAAGAACCAAAAAUGGAUCCAAGAUGAACACUAUCGUACGUUUAGUACUUGGUUAGAGAACAAGGUUGCAAUUGAAGUGACCCACACGUCGUGUCAUGUGUCAGACAUAGUUAAGUGGAUUUCUCGUGGUCCUUCUCUGAAUGUGUUUAAGUACCCUUCAUACAUCAUCAACGGUACUCAAUUCAAUACUUUGGAACGAGAUAAUGUAAGAACCACACAGAAUAGUGGAGUUUGUAUUGUAGCAAAAACUGUGCAAAUCUCUAGUUCA